rnacentral:rRNA from 1 species
AUUGAACGCUGGCGGCAGGCCUAACACAUGCAAGUCGAACGAGUGGCGGACGGGUGAGUAAUGUCUGUGAAACUGCCUGAGGGAUGAGGUUAACUACUGGAAGCGGUAGCUAAUACCGCAUACCAGCGGCUGUGCCCAGAUGGGAUUAGCUAGUGGUUGGGGUAAAGGCUCACCUAGGCGACUAUCCCUACCUGGUCUGAGAGGAUGACCAGCCACACUGGAACUGAGACACGGUCCAGACUCCUACGGGAGGCAGCAGUGGGGAAUAUUGGACAAUGGGCGAAAGCCUGAUGCAGCCAUGCCGCGUGUAUGAAGAAGGUCUUCGGGUUGUAAAGUACUUUCAGCGGGGAGGCGUUACCCGCAGAAGAAGCACCGGCUAACUCCGUGCCAGCAGCCGCGGUAAUUC